GGCAAUGUACCAAAGUGGUUACUGGGUUUGACUCGAAUAAUAUUUCAGAUAUCGAAUGGCUUCGGCCGCGUAGGUUCGAGUCCUGCCAUUGUCG
rfam:Pseudomassariella vexata strain CBS 129021 BCR38scaffold_9, whole genome shotgun sequence.